AUUGAAACAAUGGUUCCUGUACGAUCACCAAAGUUAAGCAAUGUCAAGCCUGGUCAGUACCUAGAUGGGUGACUGCUUGGGAAUACCAAGUGCUAUA